rnacentral:lncRNA from 10 species
AUUGAAGAUUUGUUGUUCAUUCCAUACUUCGUGUUUGCCUUCAUCAGGUUGGCAUAUGUGAGAAUGCUAACAAGGAGAGUUCGUAAAGAAAACAAAAUGUAUUUUAAAACAUUAUUGAUGGAAACAAAUUCCCUUUUUUCUCACGCUGUCUAGAUGAAGCGAGGGGAACUCAUUUUGACGAAGCAGCAGGAGAUGUGGGAUUUACAUGCAUUGCUGCCUACUGGAAACGCUGAUCAAUGAAGGAACCAAAUACAUAUAAUUGAGAGCCGUUGGAUGCUACCGAGGAAUAGCUGCAUUAGAAUAAAAGUACUUUAUGAUUACAUUCUGAAGCUGCCAUGCCAUUCUACGUCCAGCACCAUUAUAACAAUGACAUUUGUUUUCAUCUGCUUUUGUAAAGGUUUGAAUUGGCUCAGGAUUUGAGUGAUUAUUAAGUACUAGUUUUAUUGACUACCAGAGCCUCUAUUUUAAAAAUUAUGUAUGUAAUUUCUAAAGGUAUGUUUCUCGUCAUUAAUUUCAUUGCCCUUAUUUCAAGGGGCCUGCCAUGAUCUUCAUUUUUAGUAACUUGCUUGUUUAGAUUAUACACUAGAAAGAUGCUCGUCAACUUACAAUGGGCUUAUGUCCUGAUACAUCCACUGUAAUGAAAAUAUGUAUAAGUUGAGAAUGCAUUCAAUACACUUAACCUCCCAAGCAUCAUAGCUUAGCCCAAUCUACCUUAAACAUGCUCAGAACACUUAUAUCAGCCUACCAUCGGGCAACAUCAUCCAACUCAAAGCCUAUUUUAUGAUAAAGUGUUGACAAAUUCAUGU